rnacentral:rRNA from 1 species
ACGCUGGCGGCAGGCCUAACACAUGCAAGUCGAGCGGUAGAGAGAAGCUUGCUUCUCUUGAGAGCGGCGGACGGGUGAGUAAUGCCUAGGAAUCUGCCUGGUAGUGGGGGAUAACGUCCGGAAACGGACGCUAAUACCGCAUACGUCCUACGGGAGAAAGCAGGGGACCUUCGGGCCUUGCGCUAUCAGAUGAGCCUAGGUCGGAUUAGCUAGUCGGUGGGGGUAAUGGCUCCCCAAGGCGACGAUCCGUAACUGGUCUGAGAGGAUGAUCAGUCACACUGGAACUGAGACACGGUCCAGACUCCUACGGGAGGCAGCAGUGGGGAAUAUUGGACAAUGGGCGAAAGCCUGAUCCAGACAUGCCGCGUGUGUGAAGAAGGUCUUCGGGAUUGUAAAGCACUUUAAGUUGGGAGGAAGGGCAGUUACCUAAUACGUGAUUGUUUUGACGUUACCGACAGAAUAAGCACCGGCUAACUCUGUGCCAGCAGCCGCGGUAAUACAGAGGGUGCAAGCGUUAAUCGGAAUUACUGGGCGUAAAGCGCGCGUAGGUGGUUCGUUAAGUUGGAUGUGAAAUCCCCGGGCUCAACCUGGGAACUGCAUUCAAAACUGACGAGCUAGAGUAUGGUAGAGGGUGGUGGAAUUUCCUGUGUAGCGGUGAAAUGCGUAGAUAUAGGAGGGAACACCAGUGGCGAAGGCGACCACCUGGACUGAUACUGACACUGAGGUGCGAAAGCGUGGGGAGCAAAC